rnacentral:rRNA from 1 species
AAUAUUGGACAAUGGGCGAAAGCCUGAUCCAGCAAUACCGCGUGUGUGGAGAAGGCCUGCGGGUUGUAAAGCACUUUCAAUUGUGAAGAAAAGCUUGGGGAUAAUACCCUCGAGUCUUGACGUUAACUUUAGGAGAAGCACCGGCUAACUCUGUGCCAGCAGCCGCGGUAAUACAGAGGGUGCGAGCGUUAUUCGGAAUUACUGGGCGUAAAGCGUGCGUAGGCGGUUUAGUAAGUCAGAUGUGAAAGCCCUGGGCUUAACCUGGGAACUGCAUUUGAAACUGCUGAACUAGAGUGUGGUAGAGGGAAGUGGAAUUCCGGGUGUAGCGGUGAAAUGCGUAGAUAUCCGGAGGAACACCAGUGGCGAAGGCGACUUCCUGGACCAACACUGACGCUGAGGUACGAAAGCGUGGGUAGCAAACAGGAUUAGAUACCCUGGUAGUCCACGCCGUAAACGAUGUCAACUAGUUGUUGGGAGCAUUUUGGCUUUUAGUAACGUAGCUAACGCGAUAAGUUGACCGCCUGGGGAGUACGGCCGCAAGGUUAAAACUCAAAUGAAUUGACGG